rnacentral:lncRNA from 13 species
GUUUGCAGAUGAGUUCAGCCUAUUGGUGCAGCUGCGGAGCCCUCAGCUAGACGAACACAGUGUGCUCACCCUGCUUAGCCACGACAGCCACAUCCUGCUGCAGCUGCGCAUCAGCGCGUACACACUCACCUUCAUCGGCACGCAACAGCGCCUCUAUGAGUAAGCCUGUCUCUGUCUGUCUGCCUAUCUUUAUGUGUGUGUGUGUGUGUGUGUGUGUGUAUUUGUGUACAUGCAUGUGUGUUUUGACUCAGGGUGAAGCGAUUUAAGGUCUGUUUUUCCUAAAGCCUAGUGACAGGUUGCUUGCUCCUCUCUUCAUAAGCCACUGUGGUUUGAAGCAAUACAUCACUGUAAGAAAGCCAACAGACUUAGCUCGAAGAUGGACAGAGUCGUUUUGUUAACUUUUUUAGGUACUUUUAGAGUGCAUGAGAUUUAUAUUUGAAGUGUUACUGUAUUUCAUUCAACUGUCAUGGAAGUUAAACCUUUUUGAGAGAAACUACAAUUGCAGGGCCAACAUUCAGUACACACUUCACAUUAUAGCCAAAACAAUACAUAACAGUGACAUACACUUCCUUCUCAGUAAUGUUUGCCAUACUGUAUGAUAUUACCAAUUGCAUUGUUUUGACCGGAUUCCCAGGUUCCCGGUCAGUAGUCUGUCUGACGACCAGUGGCACCAUGUGGCUGUGAGUGUGUCAUCCGCUAGACUGGCGCUGUAUGUGGAUUGUGCCCUGGUGGAGCGUGUGGACUGGGUGUACCAGGGUAUGGGAAUCACCCCUGACGGUCUACUCAUGGUGGGGGGCAUCGUAGAGGGCUUCGAGACACCAUUUGAGGGCCAACUCCGACAGCUGACGUUCCUGAUGGGCGACCCAGACGUUGCCCAACACCAUUGCACUCUCCACACUGUCCAGUGUGGGGGGGCUGCCUCCAAGCCCCCCCGCUCACCACGGACCGACCACACAAUGGAGGAGCUCCUGCUGUCCUCAAAUGACCUGGAAGACCUGUUAGAGCGAUCCAAGGAUUCCUCUUUCUUGGAUGUGGAGGUGGGGGAGACUGUGAGUAUGAUGCUCUAUCCUAAAUCCAGCCAAAUGUAUUUAUGUAUUUAA